rnacentral:rRNA from 1 species
AUGCCGCCGCCGUCCCCUGCUACGAAUCUCGCUCACUGCAAGCUGCAGAGCCCGUGCCCAUCUCCCCUGAGGCUGCACCAUCCUAAGUUUCUAUUUUCUAUCUGGGCUCCACGACCGGUAGUAGGAUGCUCAUUAGGCAACCCAAGGUGUGUACGCCCCUACUUCCCCAAGGUACUCAAGCCUCACGCCUGGGCUGACCACGAGAUGUGUGCUGCUGUGAGGCAUGUAGCACCACUUCUCCCGACUGCUAUCAUUAGUGAAAGAUCUCAUGUCACGGCGUCAUGGUCUCAUGGAAUGGACAUCACAUGGCUUAUUAGGAACUCUGAGUUCAGCGGGCACCAUGCCGAAUGUGUUAGAUCCACUAUUUUAGAGGGUAAAUAG